AAAUCGCGGUUGAUUUUUGCGACUCAGCUCCGGUCACCGAUGUCAAUCCGAGUGAGACGUCUCGGCGGUUUUCGGUGAAGCGGGAUCUUUGGCCGGGAGCGGAAGCCGGAAGCCGGAAGUCCGCAACAAUCGACUGUUGCGGACUUUUGACGCUUUCACGUUUUUUCUUUCCCGAGUUUGGUCACCGCAGGUGCGUCUUUCCGGUCGAAGGCGCAACAUCGAAACGUCCCAAACGCCAUUUUGCGGACGUAAACGUGUCCUGGCGGAGCUUUCGCGGUCGUGUCACUUUGAGCGGGAACUCCAGACUUCGGCCAUGAGCGUGGACGGAACCGGGUCCGACGCCGAACCGGCCCACGGGCAGGUCCGUUUGACCAUUCAGAAGAUGAGCGGCGUGCCCCCGCGCAGUUCCAGACGCCCGAAACCGCGCCGAGGAGCUCCUCGUCGGACGCCGGCCACCUCUCAAGCCGGUCACGACCUCCUUACCUCCCAUUUUGAGUUGGGGUCUCGGGGGGCCGUGCUGGCGGCCCUCAAGCAGCGCUCCCUCAGCGCCCCCCAGAGGCGGGAGGUGAAAGUUCAGCUGCUCGAGCCUCCGCAGAGCGGCUCCCGCGGUGCGUCCGGCGCCCGCCAGGGGGCGCGGGCGCCGUCCGCUAAGCCGGGGGACGACCUCAGUACGAGCGGCGGCGCCGCGGCACCUGCAAAAGGCGAGUGUUCGCAGGAUCUGCUUCAGCAGCCGCCGGACGCCCUCCACAGGCAGAACUUGGCCAGUGCGAGCGGUCCGGGCAAGACGGCGGUCCUGCGCGACGGCCGUCCGGAGCUCGAGGUCAGCGGGCUGAUCGCCGCCGACCGUUUUGUUUUUCUCGCCGGCGCACAUUGUCCUCGCGGUCGGUCGCGGAAUCCGGCGCUGCGGGGGCCCCUCGGCGCUGUCACGGGCCGCUCGCCGGACGACCCGGUCCGAUCCGGCGCUCAGCGGGUUGACGCCGCAGCGAACGUCGUCGACCCGUCGGCCAAGACCAGCGUGGGGACUGACCCGGUUACCACGGCAACAUGCACCGACCGCACCAGGGAGGAGCGCCGCCCGAGAGUUGUUUCCGUGGCAACCCAAGCCGACGACAGUCUGGCGGAGCCGGCCAAUGAGGCGGCGACGGAGGCGGGGCCUGCCCGGACGGAGAGGGAGGCGGCGGCGGCGGCGGCGUCCGCGUUGACGGAGGCGCGCCAGCGGCUGCGCCAGUUUCAGCGGCAGAAGAAAGUUCUGGACGAGAACCUGGAGACCGCGGAGAGGUUCCGAAGCGGGGAGAUCCUCCGCUGCCAGCUGGAGGCUCUGGCGGCAAACAGCGACUGCAGCGAGCGGGCCCGCGUCAAGAGGACGGUGGACGCGUGGAUACACCUGAUGGCCAAAGACGUGCAGGACAGGAUGGAAGAGGAGGCGGCCAAUCGCAGAAGCUUCCGGACCGGGGCGGCGGACGGCGGAACCUCCGCCCGGCCGGGCCGGCCGGCCAGCGCGCCCAGAGGAUCGGGAAGUAAGAGGACGGCGGCUGGACGAGGACUCCGAAGCCGACCGGCGGCACCGAGAAGGGCCGGAGCCGCCGCCGAGUCUUACCUGACGCGUCUGUACGGGAGGGCGCCCCGCGACGUCAAGAGCAGCCCGCCGCUUCGCUCGAGUUCCGUGACGGCGGCCGUCGACGGGAAGCCGCGGCGCCCUGCGGUCAACAACGCUGUGAGAGGUGCUACGGUGAAACCGGCGCCGCCGCCGCCGCCCCUCCUCCCGGCACCUGCACGACGGCAGCCCCCCGCCAAGACUCCUCCUCCCCCCGUGGCCAUCCCAUUAGCGCAUCCACGUAUAGGCCCCUCCCCCAGGUGUCAACAGGCGGCGACGUCGCUUCCUGUCGCGUCGUCCCGCGUGGAGCACGCUGCGCCGGGACCUCCCGCUACAGGUUCUCCCGUGGCGGACUGUCCUCCGCCGCCCCCCCUCCCUCAGCUGAGUCCCGUCCCCGUAGAGGAGCACGAAGAGCUUGUCGUGGAGUCGGGAGGAGCGCCAGAUCGAGGUCCUGAGGCGAAACCGGACUCAGGGCCGGAGGACGCCGCGGAAGCUCGGCCCGCUUCGGCGGAGACGAGCGGCGAGGAGGAACGGGAGGAAUGGAGCGGGUUCCCCGGAACGGACUUCCUUUCCAUUGGGGACGUGGUCCACGCGACCCCUGGCGCCGACGUACCCACGGCCGACCGAUGUCGUUCCGGGCGGGCCCAGGACCCCGUCGCGGUGCCGGAGGGUGUCGCGGGCGAGGAAGCGCUCCUUUUGGAUGGGGGUCCGUCUCGUCGGCCGGUCGUCUACCGGGGUCCGGUCUUCCCCCCCGAGAAGCACGCUGCCCUUCCUGACCCCCGUCACGGCUCUGCGCCCACCCUGGACGAGAACCUGCUCGACCGUCUGGUGCAGUGGGUGGAGCAGCAGCUGAUGUCCAGAGUGAUCUCCCAGAACUUCCCGCCUUCUCUCGACCAGAACGACCGAUCGGACGCGGAAGAGCGGAGCCUCGCCUCAGACACGGUGGAGGCAGCGGGCGGAGGUGGUCUGGAGCAGUUCUUCGUAGACGCCGGGAUCUGCGUGGACUCUCCUUUAGUCAAGGAACUGGUUCACGAGGUCUUGGCUGAAAUUGUGGACCAGGUGCUGCCUUCAGUUCCAGGACCCGGACCAGAUCCAGAGUCGGGGGUCGUCUCCUUCUUCCAGGAGAAAACUGUUCCCGUGGUUUCUGUGGUUCCUGUGGUUGUCACACCUCUAGCGACCCCUCUCCCGAGUCCCGUUCCGUCCAUCCGAGACCCCGUCCCGUUCUCCACGCCGCCUCCGUCCGAACCGAGCGGCUCGCCGAUCGGCGAGGCCCCCCCAGAAGCCGUCCCCACCCCCCCUGCCAGCCCUGAGCCGUUUCGCCUUGAAGAAAUCCGUCCGGCGCUGACCCCGGCGUCCUCGGAGAACGACCGCCCGGAUCCACGGGCGCAAUCGUCGGAUGUGCAAAAAGAAGAAGAAAAAGAAGGUCCCCGCCCCCCCUCUCCCGUACAAGCUCCUCAGCGGGCUGAGCCAGAACCCGAAGACACCGACAGCACCGCCGGCAGCACCGGCGACAGCAGCAGCACCGUCACCGGAAGUGAGGCGGGACUCAAACUGGUCUCUGAAGGAGAACUGCUCAUCAGCUUCAACCACACGGAUGCCAUCGCGGGGGGGGCCAGCUCCUCAAGUUCUCUUCAGGAUGUGGAGGAGGAGCUCAGCGCGGGGGAGGUGACGGCCUCAAAAGUCCACCAGUCCGGAGGUGCCGCCGGUCCCGUCGCGAGUACAACCGCGGUGUCGCCACAACCGUCUGGUCCUCUGACAGGCGCCGUUUUGGAGGCCACCGACGGGAGCUUCAACUACGACCUCCAAAGCCAACCCUCUCGGGCGUUCCCGUUCCGAGCUGGGAGGCCGCCGUCAGGUAGGCGAGGCGACCUUUUAUUGUGAAAGGCGUGGCGGCGUCUGUCUGCUUGCGUGCUAAAGAAAGCCGACUCGUGGGCUCAGGCUGCGCCCGUUCGCCAUAGUACGGAGCCGAGGAAGGAAAUGAAAAUGUCCAAAAAGACAAAAAAGAAAAGUUGCUCUUCAAAGGAAGAAACGAUGACGAUCCUCGAAGAAUUUCUUUUGUGCGCGUGUGGAGGAACUUAGUCGAGUUAGCGAUCAUCACGUCCACGUCACACGGGAGUCAUAAAAUCUGUGUGGUUGAGUCUGAACAGUUGCCAGAGGGUGUGUACACAUGUGCAACCUUAGCAUCUCACUUAUUUCUUUUAAAUUUAUUUUUUUGGUGGGGGUGGGGGUAAAAAGUCUGACAAUGGACCAGGGGUGUGCAGACUUUUGCUAUCCAAUCCACCUCGUCAGCGUGACUUUGGCCAGCGGGAAGAAGGCGAGGGCCCAUCUUCGGACGACUCCGGCGAUUUCUUCUGACCUCCUCGGGGCAGGCUUUAGGACCCGGCGACAAAUGUGACAGAAGAGCCACGUGAUGUUUUAAAACACAAAUAUCACCAACAACGGUUUUUUGGGAGGGGGGGGGGAGGGGCAGGAUUUGAACUUCAGGAAGUCAAGACGGUCGACCUUCCAGAAUGAAAUGUGGAUUAAUGACUCGUCACCUUUGGCUCUUUCAUGUCAAUAGAAAUAAAGAUUUCAUUGUGUUCAGUUUGAAAAAACAA